GAUUUGUUGCCCACAUAAUAUGUCAGUUUGGGUAUAUUUUCAAAGCAAACUGUAAGAAUUAACUAAUGUUUCCACACUUACUUGAAAUAAUAAAUAUUUAUUGAAAUAACCCUCUAAGCCACUAUUCAACAAGCACACAUUUUACUCCUCUCUACAUCUUUAAAAGGAACAGUGCAAAUAUUAACACACAUUCCUGGUCCAAAAGUCACUUCACACCGUGUACCAUGGCCAAACUUCCCCAGGGUCAUUGUAGUUUGUAGCUUGUCCUUCUUCCUCUUUUUGCUAAAGGAGCUGUAUAGUUUAUGAGUGGUUGAAUUUCUGCAAGUGGAAAAUAUUGCAGAGAUCCACAGCUGGUCAAAAAGAAAGAGAAUAAUUGAUCAUUGGAUUCCCAAAGCCAGAAGCAGCAGGAUCAAGAUCAUGAAGGGAAACCAACAGAAGGGCAGACCUGAGCUAGUGGGAGCUCAUGACUCUGGACCAACAGGUACGGAGCCUGCAUGGGACAAACCUAGGCUUUUGAAUGUGGGUGACAGUUGUAAAGCUUGGUCUGUUUGUGGGGUCCGUAGUAGUGGAACCAGGACCUAUCCCUGAUGCAUGAGCUGGCUCGUUGGUACCUAUUUCCUGUGUUGGGAUGCCUUGCCCAGCUUUGAUGGAGGGGAGGAACCUGAUCCUGUCUCAACUUGGUCUGCCUUGGUUUGCUGACUUCCAAGGGGGACCUGCCCCUUUUAAUAAGGAGGAGGCACUGAUAGAAGGUAGUAAGGAGGUGAAUGGAGGGAGGGAAAACUGAGGUUUGUGUGGAAAAUAAAUGAAAAAUAAUAAUAAAAGCAAACAAAACAUUAAAAAAACAAAUAAAACAAAACAAAAAGAAAACUACAUUUAUAUCUUUUCCCAUCGUUUACAGUACAAUAUCAUUCUUUUCUUCAAGUCUUCUUAACCUUGUCUUUCCUGUUCUGAGGCAAUCAUAAGUAGGAUAUUAUGAAAAGAUGGAGGAAUUUUGUCAAUUAUUGUUUUUUUAGAAUUGAUUGUUGAACUAUCUCCCUCAUACACAUGUAAUUAUACAACACCCAGCUGUAAUCACAACUCGUAUAAAUAUGAAAAGGGCUUUGCGGAUGAGAUCCAUAUUUGCUUAAAUUUUUUUCACACUAUGAUUUCAUAAAAGCAUAAGGGUUAUUUCCUUGUUUAAAUUUUUCCAACAAUUUUUUAUUGAUUCUUUGAAUUUCAUAUCAUACACCACAACCACAAACAUUUCUCAGGUCUUUGAGAUCUCCUUCCAACCUUGUAUCUUCCCCCACAAAAAGACAAUAGGAAAUUAAAAUUACAAAAAAGUCUCAUGGUAGAAUGUGCAGUGUCUCACAGUGUGUCACACGGUGUACUCUUUAAACAAGCUGCUUUACUUGUGAAUGUUCGCUGUAAUGAGUCAUCGGACUGGUUCAGGACUCUGGGCUCUGCUACACUACCGAUGCUGGAUCCUCUCUGAGACCCCUCUGGGUUAUCCUGUUGCUGCUCUGUGUCAUUGAGAUCCUGCGACUUUGGUUCUGCAGGACCUGCCCCAUGAACUCUAGUAGCUCAUAGAUGGGGUAGGUGUUGGGUGGGCCAGCUCAAAAUCUUGGAACCGGGCCUGAGUGGUAGCUGAGUUGCUCACUGAUGCGAGCUCUCCAUGUUACCCAGGUGAGGUGUGAGGCUGUCUAUUCUGUAUCCACACUAUCAGAGCUAACUGUUCCUCACCCAUGUCACAAGGGCAAACUUUCUGACGCUGAUAAGAUGAGGGGUAAGGACCAGCUUUCCCACACUGAUGAGUCCAUGCUCAUCUACACCUUCGUUUAGGGCCAGCUCUUCCUAUCUGCUCAGGCAAGUUGCAGGGCUAGCUCACCCUAGUCCCGUGGCCAGCAAUUGGUGGGUUUAGUUCGCCCACGCACACACCACUGGGGCCAGCUCUCCCACACUGGCCGGACAAGGGACAGGGCCAUCUUUUCUUUACUUUUAUCACUGCUGGUACUACAGUGUGGUGGCUGGUGAAGGGCUGGAUCAGCUCAGCACCGUACUCAUACAACAUCAUGGCUUCAAAUGGGAGCCCAGACGAAGGAGGUCCACAUUGCCAUGGACGUUGUCACAGAACCCUGCUAGAGAAGAGCCAUGGCCCUCUGGAGCAGCACAGGUAAAGA